rnacentral:pre_miRNA from 1 species
AGACCCUGGUCUGCACUCUAUCUGUAAACUUACUGAAGGGAGAGCAGGGCAGGGUUUCC